rnacentral:tRNA from 1 species
GCGUUAGUAGUUCAGCGGUAAAAUGCUAGUCAGUCAUAUGUGUGGUCUGAGGUUCGAUUCCCGGCUGAUGCA